AGGAUUAUAGUUUAAAUCAAACAUUUAAAUUGCAAUUAAAAAUUAUUAUUUAAUAUAAUUAAUCUUA
rnacentral:tRNA from 1 species